rnacentral:rRNA from 1 species
GAAGGUUAGCCAUAGCGAAGAGGUCACAUCCGUUCCCAUACCGAACACGGAAGUUAAGCCCUUCAGCGCCGAUGGAAGUUGGGGGCUUGCCCCUGUAUAAGUAGGACGUUGCCGGGC